rnacentral:rRNA from 1 species
GAUGAACGCUAGCGGGAGGACUAAUACAUGCAAGUCGAACGGUAACAGGGUAGCAAUACCGCUGACGAGUGGCGCACGGGUGCGUAACACGUACACAAUCUACCUUAUACUGGAGCAUAACCUCGGGAAACUGAGGCUAAUUCUCCAUAACAUGUUAAAAAGGCAUCUUUUGAUAUUAAAACUCCGGUGGUAUAAGAUGAGUGUGCGUCUGAUUAGCUAGUUGGUACGGUAACGGCGUACCAAGGCGACGAUCAGUAGGGGGCGUGAGAGCGUGGACCCCCACACGGGUACUGAGACACGGACCCGACUCCUACGGGAGGCAGCAGUAAGGAAUAUUGGUCAAUGGAGGAAACUCUGAACCAGCCAUCCCGCGUGCAGGAAGAAUGCCCUAUGGGUUGUAAACUGCCUUUAUCUGGGAAGAAAAGCCGGCAUUUAUGUUGGUCUGACGGUACCAGAGGAAUAAGCACCGGCUAACUCCGUG